UACGUAGGGGGCUAGCGUUGUCCGGAAUCAUUGGGCGUAAAGAGCGUGUAGGCGGCCAUACAGGUCAGCUGUGAAAACUCGAGGCUCAACCUCGAGACGUCGGUUGAAACCGUAUGGCUAGAGUCCGGAAGAGGAGAGUGGAAUUCCCGGUGUAGCGGUGAAAUGCGCAGAUAUCGGGAAGAACACCCGUGGCGAAGGCGGCACUCUGGGACGGUACUGACGCUGAGACGCGAAAGCGUGGGGAGCGAACAGG
rnacentral:rRNA from 1 species